rnacentral:rRNA from 1 species
CACGUAGGAGGCGAGCGUUGUCCGGAAUCAUUGGGCGUAAAGAGCGCGCAGGCGGCUUGGCAAGUCGGGUGUGAAAUCCCGGGGCUCAACCCCGGGACUGCAUUCGAUACUGUCAGGCUAGAGGUAGGUAGGGGAGAUCGGAAUUCCUGGUGUAGCGGUGAAAUGCGCAGAUAUCAGGAGGAACACCGGUGGCGAAGGCGGCUUUCUGGGCCUUACCUGACGCUGAGGAGCGAAAGCUGGGGGAGCAAACAGG